ACAACCUGCACACGAAGGCGCUGUGGGUGGACCGGCCGCGCCUCGUGCUGCUGGCGGCCACGGACAUCGCGCCCGGCGAGGAGCUCACCUACGACUACGGCGACCGCUCCAAGGAGUCGCUGCAGCACCACCCCUGGCUCGCGCUCUGACGUGUGACAGGUAUGUUUCCAGAAAUCUCCGGUGGACUACUGAACGUUAUUUAAUAAUUUAGCUUAAUUGUGAAGUUUUCUGUUAUGACGCUUUGUUUGAAGUUGGACAUAAUAUUCAAUGUUGUUAAGAAUUAAGACGAGUGGCCUAACUACUUGAAUUGACGCGAGUUUAGAAUUGAUGCUGGAUGUUUGCCAAAUGAUGUGUUUCAAGGCUUUGAUUGUCUGUCAGGGGCGUAGCUACCGCCGCACCUGCCGUAUCAAUUAUACGGGGCCCCCAACGUGCGUUUUUGUGAGAAAUCUUUACCCUUCCUAAGGGCCCCUAACAACCUUAUACGGGGCCCCGCCAAGGCACGCUACGCCACUGUUUUCUAUAACAAAUUGAUGUUUUAUGUAUGAAUAUUCGACAUACCAGCAUAGAGGUUUCUAACUCAUAGUUUUACAUAAUGGGCUAUGAAAAUUAAGUAAAGCACCACUUUAUAAAGGAGCAAUCACGCAUGCGGUUUACUAUAAAAAUAAGUUUUUUUUUUCUAUAAUAUUCAUAUUAAAUCUUAAACAUAAAUCAACAUUGACAUCAAGUUUGAACAAUUGUUUUGAAUACUGCAACAGUAACCGGGCAACCAUGCAUCAGCUUGAAAUGGGUCUCUAUUGUUUCUCAUAAAGCUUUAAGUCACAAUGUAUUGCUUGUCCGCAUUUUCGUUAGCCAUAAUUUGGUUUAUCUCAGAAACGCGUAACAUUUCAGGAUUGCCAUAAAACAAACCUAACCUAACCUAUCUAUAGCAUAACCUAAGGAAAUUCCUGAAAAGUUAACGGUUUCAGAGUUAUGACUAUUAUUACAUUAUGACCAAAGAGCAUAUAAUCACUACGAUUAUGACUUUUAAUGAUUAUGCCAAACAAAGGGAUUUAGCAAAAGGUGAUUGAAGCAACUUAUAUUUCUAGUAAACAGCGUCAACUGCGUUCGAAUAAAAUGCAAGUACAAAUGAAUAUUGCGUUUUAAGUUAAAUUUAUGACCGACGUCACUGUCUUAUGGUGCCUUCAUGAGAGGCCUGGAGACGGCCCUUUACUGCCUGAGACGUUAGCGCCGUCAUCGUCAACACUAAAGUUAUCCUAAAAAUUAUCCUUGAACUUGAAUACCACUUGUUUCGAUGCAAGAAAUUACCAUAAAACAUGCCCGAGUUGGUUGCAUUAAUAGUAGUGUGGCUGUGGGGAAAAUGGACAGCUUGAUAGAUACCCAUUUUUUGACGAAAAAUGCUACGUGCCUGUGCAUUCACCCAAAUCCGAGACUUAAUUCCUGUUUUGCAUCAUUUGUGGCUAAGGUUCUGUUUAGUUGGUUUUACGGUAAGAAGGUUGUAAUAAGUUUUUGACUGUCACCUUGUAUUCCUAAAUUACGGACACGCAACUAACUCGAAUAGUGUUGUAUUUAUCUUUAGUUCUAAGUUAUUAUUAAUUUGAACAUUGGAAAGACGCACGGUUGUAACAUUUGCUCAGUGUAUUAAUGACAUUCAUUUUCGAAUCCAUCAUCAAAAGGUGACGUAAUAAUGGAAAUGCUCUAUCCUCAUUCAUUUAAAAGAAAUAAUUAAUUUGCCCACCGAAGAGAUAAAUUACGUUCAUCGCACAGAAUGUUUGAAGUCACAUUAAUUCAUUAUUCAAAUUAUUAUAAAUAUUAUAAUCCAGGGGUGACGUAUAUAUAACAUACUAUAGAUUAACUCCUUGCUUCCGACCGGCGCAUUAUCGGGUCAGCGAAGAUAAACUAAAUUCAAUUUUGAAUUUAAAAUUUAAAUAUCGACUUCUGGCCGGCAAAUUGAGAUCUCGGCGAGCAACAUUAUUAUCGCAUUCAUUGCCGGGGGCGUGGCCUGGGAACAAAUUUGAUGCUGAUCGCAUAUAUGCGUUGUUGGUAGUGAAUGUGUUAAAUGUGGAACCUGCUACUCCCUAUUGAUUUAGGAAUUUUUGGCGCGCCCUGGAUAUAGAUCUCCCUGCAUUUUCUGUAUUAUAGAAAUAUACAAAAAGUCCAUUUGCGAGACUUGUAGUGAUCAUAAGCGUAAGUGUGAUAGAGACUGUGUCCCGAUUAGAGAAAGUAAGAGAGGAAAUUUGAAAGAAAUUGAGAACAUAAAAGAAAUGUCCUCGAGCGUCAGCGAUUUACCAAGACUGGAUUGAACGUUUAAAAAGUUAUUUCUAAACGAUUUUUUACUCGAAAAUCGUUGACUCUCGAAAUUUGAUACACGUCAGUUAGAGAAAUUUUAAUGUUAAGAAAAAUUUUAUAUCUCACUUAGUGUAAUUAUUUGUAAGCUAGAACCGGUGGGUAGCCCUAAACACUAAACGUUUAGAUAUUUAUGACGUCCUUGUAUCGCCUAUCGUUCACCAGUAAUUUAAGGUAAAAGCAUCUUAGCGCUUUAUUUCUCCUACAUCCAUCAAUUGAAUUAUUUUUUGCAAUGACAUUCAUAUAUCACUGCCAGGGUUUUAAUAGUUAAGAUUUGAUUGGUACUUGUUUUUAAAAAAAUCUUACGAAUGCAUGCUUUUGUGUGACGAAAUUCAUCGGUUAAAUAGGUAAUUGAUCCCAUUCGUCAGUAUACAUCACCUUUUAUGAUUGCCUAAUUUUAGAGACAAUACAUUAUUUUGAAUCUGUGGCUGCAGGACUUGUCUAGACAAGAGUCAAAUGGUAUAUUGAAAUUUACCAUUUGUUUUAGAGUCGAGGUCAAAUGUAACAUAGCAUUGGUUCCGCAUGCCAGUUGUACGCGUUUAUAAUGCACAUGUCCACAAUGGAGUGUCAAUGACCUUUGCGCGUCUACACGGAGCUUUAUACUGGUCGACCUUCGAAUUACGAAUAGUAUUGCAACUACCUAUCGUGCACUCGAUUUCUAACUUUUCAUGACACAGGCUAAUGUUGCUGGAUAGUAACCUUGGACUGAAUGUAUACACUUUGUUAUUAAAGUGUACAGUCAGCGGCAAAAAUUACUAGUUACCUGCUGCUGAUUGUGGUUCUCUAAGCAAGCAAGUAAGUAAAAAAAUAACUGAUAAUUUUCUUGCUUUGCGUUUUGAGAGGUUUAAGGAACGAGCUAUCCAAAAUAUAACUAUACGACUGAGACCUCGCAUAAGUGCCGCCAUGUAAAUUAGUUCUGACGAAAAUUCAAGUGGUCUAAUUUAAAAAAAAAAAUGUUUAAUCGAAAUUCCUAUACCAGUUCAGCAACAUCACAUCGCUAUAAUUGUAUUGAUUUCCUAGUUCCUACUCCUGUAUACUUAAUCUAACGCCUCGUGUGAUUCUAACACUAGUUAAUUGACAUACUUCUAAAGCCUUAUGAUAUAUAAUAAAGUGAAAGUCUAGUAAGACUGGACAAGAAUUAUUAGAACCUUUGUGUGGUAGGUUAUUUGGGACUAUUGAAACAAACAUGGGUAUACGGCUGAAGAUCGUUAUAAUAUGAAAAAAUAUAUUCUUAGCUUUCUUUUUGUUUAUACAAUGAUUGUUUCAAUAUGUUUGAAUGUGCUACCAACCAAAUGGUGUUUUAAAAAUGUCUCUGCAUAAUUUUACAUCCUAAUAACUCUAGGUUAAUUAUAUUAUAUAUUUUAAAUAGAUUAAUAUAUUCCGUUCAAAUAUGUAAUGCAUUUUGUUUUAAGUAUAACACGUAAGAAAUAUUCGGGUAGCACUGAAUACUGUUAACCGCGGUUUGGUUCGAGUUGGUAUGAUUUUUUAGAUGUUGUGAGUUACUUUUGUAGAAUUAUGCCUCGAAUACACGCGUUAAGUCACUUAGUACGUUGGUGACUAAACUACUAACGCCGAGUUCUAAAGGAAACCGGUUCUAUGGUAGACUUUGUCGCAUUCACGUGGCUUUCUCAUGUAAUUGUAUCUUACACCUAUUUGGAAGAACAUUAACUAGCUUUAAGUACUUUUAUAUCCAAUUAUAACCGUGAUAUAGGCAAUUUUUUUUACAUGUUUAAAAUGAGAAUCAAAUUUAUAACAAAAAUAAAGCGUAACAUCUAGUUAAGCUUAAUGCUGAAACUGAAUUGUCUAGAGUUAGAUUUUAACGUUUAAACUGAAGUUUUUUAUAAAAUUCAGUCUAUGGUCGACGUUAAAACUAAAAUUUUGUUGACGUUCACAGCAGCAAGGCAAAACACCCCAAACUCGCUUAUUAUUGUUAUAUGAUAAAAACGUUCAAAUAUGAGUUACUAGAAUAAUACACAUUCAUAUCCUGUAAGACAUGAAAUGUUGGAGGAUGGCAAACUUUCGAAUUUUAUACCUAUUUAGUUUUGUGUAGAAUUUACAAUACUACAAGCUAUCACAUUACUAGGUUAUCUAAUUUACGAAGUUUUGUCGCCGAAUUACCUAAUUCGUAAUCAUGUUAAAAUUGACUAUUUUUGUAUAAUGGAUAGAUUUUGUAGACCACCUCAAGCUAAGAUCACCCAAGACAAAAUAAACACCUAAAGUUGGGCCCGAUUACACGAAUUACAUGGCGAAGAAGUCGAAGCCUACGCAGCCAAAUGAGGACUGCCGCGACCGCCGUAUUAAAGGGUACCGUAAUCGCGCCUUUAUUUUAAUCUGUAGAAUAUUUUUUUCUUGAACAAUAUUUAAUUUACAGAAGUGUUUCUACUUUUUAACGUAGUUGUAUAUUAUUUAUAAAUGAAUUGUUUUUGUCAUGGGCAGUUUAUUAAGAGGCUGGUAUUUGUUUGUUAAUUAAUAUGAGAUGAAACAAUUGCCGAUUGGAUAUUACAUUUAGCAACAGUAUUGUUAUGGUUAAUUUCCUACGUAGCGGUGUUAUGAGACUUAUUUAUUUUGGAAUAAGGGCACCUUGCACUGCCCAAAUAAUAAUCAGUAGUGAUUGAGUGAAAUAUAAAAAAAUAAUGAACUUUGA